rnacentral:rRNA from 1 species
AUUGAACGCUGGCGGCAGGCCUAACACAUGCAAGUCGAACGAGUGGCGGACGGGUGAGGAAUACAUCGGAAUCUACUCUGUCGUGGGGGAUAACGACUGGAAACUUUCGCUAAUACCGCAUACGAUCGGAUGAGCCCAUGUGGGAUUAGCUAGUAGGGGGGGUAAAGGCUCACCAAGGCGACGAUCCGUAGCUGGUCUGAGAGGAUGAUCAGCCACACUGGAACUGAGACACGGUCCAGACUCCUACGGGAGGCAGCAGUGGGGAAUAUUGGACAAUGGGCGAAAGCCUGAUCCAGCCAUGCCGCGUGUGUGAAGAAGGUCUUCGGAUUGUAAAGCACUUUCAGCGGGGAGGCGUUACCCGCAGAAGAAGCACCGGCUAACUCCGUGCCAGCAGCCGCGGUAAUAC